rnacentral:rRNA from 1 species
AUUGAACGCUGGCGGCAGGCCUAACACAUGCAAGUCGGACGGUAGCACAGGGGAGCUUGCUCCUCGGGUGACGAGUGGCGGACGGGUGAGUAAUGUCUGGGGAUCUGCCCGAUAGAGGGGGAUAACCACUGGAAACGGUGGCUAAUACCGCAUAACGUCGCAAGACCAAAGAGGGGGACCUUCGGGCCUCUCACUAUCGGAUGAACCCAGAUGGGAUUAGCUAGUAGGCGGGGUAACGGCCCACCUAGGCGACGAUCCCGAGCUGGUCUGAGAGGAUGACCAGCCACACUGGAACUGAGACACGGUCCAGACUCCUACGGGAGGCAGCAGUGGGGAAUAUUGCACAAUGGGCGCAAGCCUGAUGCAGCCAUGCCGCGUGUAUGAAGAAGGCCUUCGGGUUGUAAAGUACUUUCAGCGGGGAGGAAGGCGAUGUGGUUAAUAACCUUGUCGAUUGACGUUACCCGCAGAAGAAGCACCGGCUAACUCCGUGCCAGCCGCCGCCGUAA